AUGUCCGCCUCGGAUCGGGCCGAUGCCCGUUCAGACCUCCGCCUUGGCCGCACCAUUGCCCGUUGGGCUGCUAGCUUCCGAGGGAGUUUACUCUCUGCUUGGACUCCCACGCACCAGGGCGCUCUCGUCCUAUCGUCCAAUGGCCGCCUUGCUCUUCUGGAUGAGGAUGACGUGAUCAUAGAUGCUCGUCUCCUCCGAGAUGAUGAGUCCAUUACUGUCGGAGAUGUGAUCUCCGCGGCAACCUUGCCCGACCCAAAGCGGUCCGAUAUCCAUCAGAUAGCCUCGGCAGAUAAUCCUGUGCAGGUGACCGCCAAUGUUGAUCGAGCCACAUAUGCUGCCCAGUCUGGCCAUUUGGAGAAAUGGAAUGAACUUCAGCAGGCCCACUCUGGAAAUGCCUUGGAUCUUGAUAUCAAACCGGGACUGGAUAUUCAACGAUUGAUCUGGAACAAAUUCAGUUGUCCCGUCGCUUUUUCACCAAUUCAAGGGGCUCAGGAUUUCAAUGUCCUUCACCUGAGGGACAAUACUUUUCGAUUCUCUGUUUUCUCUAUGAAAGUUGGGUUUCGGGUUAAUUCACUCGGGAGUUACCAGUGCUAG
rnacentral:rRNA from 1 species